AGCCUGUUCCACGAUGUCGAAAGAACACGUUCGCACAACUUUUACACGACAAACAGCUGAUUUCCGUUCCACUAAAAUCCAUCAGAACGAAAAUUUGCACGAAAAUCAAAGCGAACGAAAACGUAAGCGUUUCAGUGUAAUUUUGCGUUCCACUAUCUUUUUUCUUUCGUACGCAUGCGAACACAAAUGUCAAAAUCAGUCACUUGUGUGUUUGCUGUCGAAUGAUAAAAAUUAAGGAAAAUUGUUUUAACAUAAACAUUCCUUGAUUGAAAAUGGAAAGAAAAAUCACGAAAAAACUACACAGCUGCGGGCACUAGUUGAGUAUAUGGGGGAGAAUCCUAAGUUCGCCAGAGGAGUGCCAAUUUUUGGAAGCAGCAGGCAAUCCCAUGAAGACCACUGGAAGACACAAACCUAGAAAAAAUCAUUUUUUUAUUAUUUCAAAAAUGUAAAAAUACAAUCAUACUUACUGGUUGUUAGGUACUUCAAAUAAAUUCGAAGCAUCUCUUAAA